rnacentral:rRNA from 1 species
GAUGAACGCUGGCGGCGUGCUUAAUACAUGCAAGUCGAACGAGGAGUCUUUGUCUUCGGAUGGAGGCUUCCUAGUGGCGAACGGGUGAGUAACGCGUUGGUGACCUGCCUCGAAGUGGGGGAUAACAGUUCGAAAGAACUGCUAAUACCGCAUACAAUCAGUUGGGUUAGAGACCUUCUGAUAAAAGGAGUAAUUCGCUUCGAGAGGGGCCUGCGUCCCAUCAGCUAGUUGGUAAGGUAAAAGCCUACCAAGGCUAUGACGGGUAGGGGACCUGAGAGGGUGGCCCCCCACAAUGGCACUGAAACACGGGCCAUACACCUACGGGUGG